GGUAGCUUGUGAAGUUAGGUAAGGUAUCUGGCCUGCUCACUGAUUAUUUUAAGGGCUGCAGUAUUAUGACUGUACAAAGGUAGCACAAUCAUUAGUCUUUUGAUUGAAGGCUGGUAUGAAAGGUAGGACAGGGGGACACUUUCUAGGGCUUAAUUUGAUUAAAAUUUUCUUUCUAGUUAAAAGACUAGAAUGCCUAUAAAAGACAAGAAGACCCUUUUAAACUUUAUUUGAUUUUAGGUUGUUUUAUUUAAUAUGUUUAUACAACUUAUGGGUUGAAUUUUGCUGGGGCGGCAAGUAUAUUCUAUAUUAUGAUAAAUGAUUUGUUUAGCUUUGUGUGUGAUCUUAUAGUUGAAACAAAAGAACUAGUUACUAAAGGGAUAACAGCGUAAUAUUAUUUGAGAGUUCUUAUUGACAGUAGUGUUUGCGA
rnacentral:rRNA from 1 species